UACGAAGGGAGCUAGCGUUGUUCGGAAUCACUGGGCGUAAAGCGCACGUAGGCGGAUUUGCCAGUCAGGGUGAAAUCCCGGGGCUCAACCUCGGAACUGCCUUUGAUACAGCAAGUCUUGAGUUCGAGAGAGGUGGGUGGAAUUCCUAGUGUAGAGGUGAAAUUCGUAGAUAUUAGGAAGAACACCGGUGGCGAAGGCGGCCCACUGGCUCGACACUGACGCUGAGGUGCGAAAGCGUGGGGAGCAACAGG
rnacentral:rRNA from 1 species